rnacentral:misc_RNA from 1 species
CCCUAAAUCAGGAUAAAGCGUUUAAAACGAUCAAAAGAGGGAUUACAAAAUCUAUAUAACUCAAAGCGAUAUGAUUGAACCGAUAGUUUCAUAUAGGCAUUGACGUCUAUGAGCAUUUGGAAUUUAUAUCAACCAAAUGGACGCUGUAAAAAUCACUUUGCAAGGAAUUUUGACUCCUUAGUAUUUAGCAUUUGAACUGUUUUUUUGCCAUUAAUUUGCUUUAACUUUGGAUUACUCACACAAAAGCAAUAAGCCUGCCAAUUUUGAUAAGCUUUUUAGAAGCAAUCUUUUUAGAAGUACUUAUUUUUUAAAAGCACUUAUGAAAGUAAUGGAUAAACUGGUGGGCCUGGGAGGACUUGAACCUCCGACCUCACGCUUAUCAAGCGCGCGCUCUAACCAACUGAGCUACAAGCCCUCCGGGAUAAACCGGAAAACCUUCCCCGGCAUCCUCUUAUAAAACGCUUAAAUUUUAUCAAGGAAAGCGUUUUUCAAAGCCCACGGUGGACUUGUU